rnacentral:misc_RNA from 1 species
GGCUUGUAUCGCCUUGAGCGUAAAGUGGGUUUCCUGUGUUGCAUACCAUAUUGAUGGUAUCGUUUUGGUUUAUCGAAGUCCCUUUUCAUCUUGUGUUGCCGUUGUGAUGCAAGAUGAACCUUGAAGUGGUUUCCAUGUUCCAUCAUGUUGAUGAAAAUGCAUCGAUGUUGUGGCCCAUUGAGCGUUGCUUGGUAUCCUGGAUACGGAACAUUAUGUGGGCAUGGGGUCUCUCAUGACUCCUGUUUUGUCCUCGUUCGGUGUUAUUAAAAACGACGGUUCAUGUGCGCCUAGGGUCGCACCCGCGU